AUGGACUCCCUCAUGCCGCCGGCGCCGCCGCAAACGUGGAACACCGAAGGGAGGUCCACUGAUCCAGCGAAGAAUGGUAGGGGAAGGUUUAGGGUUUUCUCUGUGCAGAGAGGAAGAGAUCUUGGAAUUCUUCCGGCUUCCGUCAAAGCAGAUGAUUGUUUGCCACCAUAUAAUACGUUGUGUAGGCAUGAUGAAGAGCAGCAUGUCCAGAAUUGUGAUUGGAUAAGCACAAUGCCAGAUGAUAUUUUAAUUGAAAUCCUUUCCCUAAUGACAAUUAGUGAGGCAGCAAUGACUGGUUUCCUUUCCACCAGAUGGAGGCAUGUCUGGAAAAAAAUUGACCAUCUCAUCCUUGAUUCCUACGCUUUUGGGAUGCAAGAGUUAGAAAAGUCACGUUACCAUGAAAAUCCUCUUUUGUGGAAUGAUGUAGCUACAAAGUUUGUUAACAAAGUAAAUGGGCUUUUGCACAGUCGUUGUGGUAACAAAAUCAAGGAAUUUAGUAUCAGAUUCCCAUUAACCUCAGCCCAUGCUUCUAAUCUGGAUCACUGGAUUGACUUUGCAAUUGCAGCCUCUACAGAAAAGCUCUUCCUUGACCUGGAUAACAAGUGUUGCAAGGAAGGUUGUAUGAUUUGUGCGAAAGGAAGAAUGCCUGCAAAUCUGAGUGGGUUCUCAUAUAUUAAAUACCUGAUGCUCGCCCGUGUGUCAAUUGUUGAUGAAACCAUUUCAAAUAUUGUGUCCAGCUGUUGUGCUCUUGAAAGUCUAGUCCUACAAUAUUGCCAUCAAUUGAUUCAUUUGACGGCUUCUCAUGCACGGUUGCAAAUCUUGGUUGUUCAAUUUUGCAAAAGCUUGGUUAGUAUUUGUAUUCGUGCUGACAACAUUGAGUCAUUCGUGUACAUGGGCUACAAGAUCAAUAUUGACUGCGAACAUACAAAAUUUCUUGAUAUGCUCCAUGUUUAUUAUGUGAACAAGGAUGACUGCGCUUUAGACUUCAUAAGUGCAUUUCCUAAGCUCCCCAAACUAGAAUUUUUGGUAUAUCGCGUGUUGCAGCAUGCUACAAGGUUUGCUGGUUUGACAACAGAUAUAUUGAUUCUCAUGAAACCUUGGAAAGAGGACAUUUCCUCGGUGGCUUAUCUCCUCAAAUCAGCUCCUUUAAUAGAAUAUUUUGGUCUACAUGGUUGUUGCAAGCUUCAUCAACAUACUCAGUUGAACAUCCCAUGGCCCGAGGAUUUUAUACUUUCAAGACUCUACACUAUUAUAAUUGGUGGGUUUAGUGGGGAAUUCGAACUCAUGGAACUAGUGUACUUUCUACUACGGAGUACACCGGCAUUGGAUGUAUUCGGAAUUGAUACACGUGCCAUGGAGCCAUGGUUGGAUUUGCCUAUGCAUGUUUACAUGCCUAAUAAGCUCCGUUAUGGAUCAUGUCGUGCUUUUGGUCACUAA
rnacentral:rRNA from 1 species